AUUGAACGCUGGCGGCAUGCCUUACACAUGCAAGUCGAACGAUGAGAAAGAGCUUGCUCUUUCGAUUAGUGGCGGACGGGUGCGUGACGCGUAGGAAUCUACCUAUUAGUGGGGGACAACUUAGGGAAACUUAAGCUAAUACCGCAUACGCCCUACGGGGGAAAGAAGGGGAUCGCAAGACCUUUUGCUAAUAGAUGAGCCUGCGUAGGAUUAGCUAGUUGGUGGGGUAAAAGCUCACCAAGGCGACGAUCCUUAACUGGUUUGAGAGAAUGAUCAGUCACACUGGAACUGAGACACGGUCCAGACUCCUACGGGAGGCAGCAGUGGGGAAUAUUGGACAAUGGGCGAAAGCCUGAUCCAGCAAUACCGCGUGUGUGAAGAAGGCCUUAGGGUUGUAAAGCACUUUCAAUUGGAAGGAAAACCUCGAAGCUAAUACCUUCGAGUUUGACAUUACCUUUAGAAGAAGCACCGGCUAACUCCGUGCCAGCCGCCGCAGUAAGAC
rnacentral:rRNA from 1 species